GACGAACGCUGGCGGCGUGCUUAACACAUGCAAGUCGAACGAAGUGGCGAACGGGUGAGUAACGCGUAAUCAACCUGCCCUUCAGAGGGGGACAACAGUUGGAAACGACUGCUAAUACCGCAUACUGAAGGAGGUGAUUGCGUCUGAUUAGCUAGGUGGAGGGGUAACGGCCCACCAAGGCGAUAAUCAGUAGCCGGUCUGAGAGGAUGAACGGGCACAAUGGGACUGAGACACGGCCCAGACUCCUACGGGAGGCAGCAGUGGGGAAUCUUCCGAAAUGGACGAAAGUCUGACGGAGCAACGCCGCGUGAGUGAUGACGGCCUUCGGGUUGUAAAGCUCUGUUAAUCGGGACGCGGUACCGGAAGAGAAAGCCACGGCUAACUACGUGCCAGCAGCCGCGGUAAUAC
rnacentral:rRNA from 1 species